GACGAACGCUGGCGGCGUGCCUAAUACAUGCAAGUCGAACGCAGUGGGGACGGGUGAGUAACACCUGGGUAACCUCCCAUCAGAGGGGAUAACACUUGGCAACAGGUGCUAAACCGAUACUGAUGUAGGGACCCGCGGGGGAUUAGCGAGAUGGUGAGGUAACGGCCCACCAAGGCCACGAGGCAUAGCCGAGCUGAGAGGGUGAUCGGCCACACUGGAACUGAGACACGGCCCAGACUCCUACGGGAGGCAGCAGUGGGGAAUCUUCGACAAUGGGCGCAAGUCUGACCGAGCAACGCCGCGUGUGUGAAGAAGGUUUUCGGGUCGUAAAACUCUGUUAUUAGAGAAGCGGUAUCUGACCAAAAAGCAACGGCUAACUACGUGCCAGCAGCCGCGGUAAUUC
rnacentral:rRNA from 1 species